GACGAACGCUGGCGGCGUGCUUAACACAUGCAAGUCGAACGGAAAGGCCCUGCUUUUGUGGGGUGCUCGAGUGGCGAACGGGUGAGUAACACGUGAGUAACCUGCCCUUGACUUUGGGAUAACUUCAGGAAACUGGGGCUAAUACCGGAUAGGAGCUCCUGCUGCAUGGUGGGGGUUGGAAAGUUUCGGCGGUUGGGGAUGGACUCGCGGCUUAUCAGCUUGUUGGUGGGGUAGUGGCUUACCAAGGCUUUGACGGGUAGCCGGCCUGAGAGGGUGACCGGCCACAUUGGGCCUGAGAUACGGCCCGGACUCCUACGGGGGGCAGCAGGGGGGAAUUUUGCACAAUGGGCGGAAGCCUGAUGCAGCAACGCCGCGUGCGGGAUGACGGCCUUCGGGUGGUAAACCGCUUUCGCCUGUGACGAAGCGUGAGUGACGGUAAUGGGUAAAGAAGCACCGGCUACUUACGU
rnacentral:rRNA from 1 species